CUGUAAGCCUGCGAAGGUGGCCUGUGAGGGUUGCUGGAGGUAUCAGAAGUGCGAAUGCUGACAUAAGUAACGAUAAAGCGGGUGAAAAGCCCGCUCGCCGGAAGACCAAGGGUUCCUGUCCAACGUUAAUCGGGGCAGGGUGAGUCGACCCCUAAGGCGAGGCCGAAAGGCGUAGUCGAUGGGAAACGGGUUAAUAUUCCCGUACUUGGUGUUACUGCGAAGGGGGGACGGAGAAGGCUAUGUUGGCCGGGCGACGGUUGUCCCGGUUUAAGCGUGUAGGUGUGUGUUCCAGGUAAAUCCGGUUCACUUUAACACUGAGGCGUGAUGACGAGGCACUACGGUGCUGAAGCAACAAAUGCCCUGCUUCCAGGAAAAGCCUCUAAGCAUCAGGUAACAUCAAAUCGUACCCCAAACCGACACAGGUGGUCAGGUAGAGAAUACCAAGGCGCUUGAGAGAACUCGGGUGAAGGAACUAGGCAAAAUGGUGCCGUAACUUCGGGAGAAGGCACGCUGACACGUAGGUGAAGUGAUUUACUCAUGGAGCUGAAGUCAGUCGAAGAUACCAGCUGGCUGCAACUGUUUAUUAAAAACACAGCACUGUGCAAACACGAAAGUGGACGUAUACGGUGUGACGCCUGCCCGGUGCCGGAAGGUUAAUUGAUGGGGUCAGCGCAAGCGAAGCUCCUGAUCGAAGCCCCGGUAAACGGCGGCCGUAACUAUAACGGUCCUAAGGUAGCGAAAUUCCUUGUCGGGUAAGUUCCGACCUGCACGAAUGGCGUAAUGAUGGCCAGGCUGUCUCCACCCGAGACUCAGUGAAAUUGAACUCGCUGUGAAGAUGCAGUGUACCCGCGGCAAGACGGAAAGACCCCGUGAACCUUUACUAUAGCUUGACACUGAACAUUGAGCCUUGAUGUGUAGGAUAGGUGGGAGGCUUUGAAGUGUGGACGCCAGUCUGCAUGGAGCCGACCUUGAAAUACCACCCUUUAAUGUUUGAUGUUCUAACGUGGACCCGUGAUCCGGGUUGCGGACAGUGUCUGGUGGGUAGUUUGACUGGGGCGGUCUCCUCCUAAAGAGUAACGGAGGAGCACGAAGGUUGGCUAAUCCUGGUCGGACAUCAGGAGGUUAGUGCAAUGGCAUAAGCCAGCUUGACUGCGAGCGUGACGGCGCGAGCAGGUGCGAAAGCAGGUCAUAGUGAUCCGGUGGUUCUGAAUGGAAGGGCCAUCGCUCAACGGAUAAAAGGUACUCCGGGGAUAACAGGCUGAUACCGCCCAAGAGUUCAUAUCGACGGCGGUGUUUGGCACCUCGAUGUCGGCUCAUCACAUCCUGGGGCUGAAGUAGGUCCCAAGGGUAUGGCUGUUCGCCAUUUAAAGUGGUACGCGAGCUGGGUUUAGAACGUCGUGAGACAGUUCGGUCCCUAUCUGCCGUGGGCGCUGGAGAACUGAGGGGGGCUGCUCCUAGUACGAGAGGACCGGAGUGGACGCAUCACUGGUGUUCGGGUUGUCAUGCCAAUGGCACUGCCCGGUAGCUAAAUGCGGAAGAGAUAAGUGCUGAAAGCAUCUAAGCACGAAACUUGCCCCGAGAUGAGUUCUCCCUGAGACUUUAGGUCUCCUGAAGGAACGUUGAAGACGACGACGUUGAUAGGCCGGGUGUGUAAGCGCAGCGAUGCGUUGAGCUAACCGGUACUAAUGAACCGUGAGGCUUAACCUUACA
rnacentral:rRNA from 3 species